CUUCCUUUGGUCACAGAAACAUCUUAUUCUUCCCAUCUGCCUAACUCAGAAACAAUGAUCUUGAUGGGCAUAUGUUUCGUGGUACUGCUGCAACACGCUGCAGGCAUGGUGAAUGUCUCACUUUUCUCUUUAUUGACCCAUCACCCUUCAGUUCAAAUGGAGAUUACUAAUAAGCACAAUGAUCUUAGGAGGAUGGCAAAUCCCAG